UACUUCGGGGUGCAGUGGUAGCACGCGUUUCCGCUAUGGAUGAAACCUGGGUUCGACUCCCGUCUGAGGUCG